rnacentral:rRNA from 1 species
AGUGAACGCUGGCGGUAGGCCUAACACAUGCGAGUCGAACGGCAGCACAGUAAGAGCUUGCUCUUACGGGUGGCGAGUGGCGGACGGGUGAGGAAUACAUCGGAAUCUACUUUUUCGUGGGGGAUAACGUAGGGAAACUUACGCUAAUACCGCAUACGACCUACGGGUGAAAGCAGGGGAUCUUCGGACCUUGCGCGAUUGAAUGAGCCGAUGUCGGAUUAGCUAGUUGGCGGGGUAAAGGCCCACCAAGGCGACGAUCCGUAGCUGGUCUGAGAGGAUGAUCAGCCACACUGUAACUGAGACACGGUCCAGACUCCUACGGGAGGCAGCAGUGGGGAAUAUUGGACAAUGGGCGUAAGCCUGAUCCAGCCAUACCGCGUGGGUGAAGAAGGCCUUCGGGUUGUAAAGCCCUUUUGUUGGGAAAGAAAAGCAGCAGGUUAAUACCCCGCUGUUCUGACGGUACCCAAAGAAUAAGCACCGGCUAACUUCGUG